CGCAUAGAAGCAGCUACAAACAACGCUACGGUGCAGGUCUUUCAAUGUAGUUAUUUCUUGUCACGCUUCAGCCUUGGAAAAAUAUUUGUUUGUAAAUUCGAUUCAAGCAUUUAGCUAAUGAUGAUAAUCUUGUUAUUGAUAGAGUUUCUUACAUAUCAAUGUUGGUUGCAUUUACUCACAAAUUGCAAUGCCUUUUGUGUAUGUCGUUAGCUGUAUUACUUUGCUCAUGCGUCAUGCAAACGAAUUGUAAAAUAUACAAUACUGUA